CCCUGACCUCACUUCCUUCAAGUUCGAAAUCGGCACGACAGAGCGGCACGCGCUACUAGGCUACCAGUCGGCGCCAUCAUUUCGGACCUGAGGCUGAUGAACCUGCAAGUCAUCACUUCUCUCGGUCAUCCUCCUAUUCGCAAGGCGAAACAGCAAGGAUGGAUGAGUUGUGCGAGUUCUUGAGGUCGCGGAAUGUACCAGAAGAAAACAUAAAGCAACUGGAAAACGAUAAGAUCGAUCCCAAUGUCCUCCUGCUCAUGAACGACGACCAGUUAACCGAGUAUCUACCAUCAUAUGGAGACCGACUGGCUGUCCUUGGAUAUUGCAGAUUGAAGGG
ensembl:lncRNA